UCUACGGGAGGCAGCAGUGAGGAAUAUUGGUCAAUGGUCGGGAGACUGAACCAGCCAAGCCGCGUGAGGGAUGAAGGUACAGAGUAUCGUAAACCUCUUUUGUCAGGGAACAAAGGCGGGGACGUGUCCCCGGAUGAGUGUACCUGAAGAAAAAGCAUCGGCUAACUCCGUGCCAGCAGCCGAGGUAAUACGGAGGAUGCGAGCGGUAUCCGGAUUUAUUGGGGUUAAAGGGUGCGUAGGCGGGCAUUUAAGCCGGCGGUCAAAUGUCGGGGCUCAAACCCGGCCUUCCGUCGGAACUGGGUGCCUUGAGUGGGCGAGAAGUAUGCGGAAUGCGUGGUGUAGCGGUGAAAUGCAUAGAUAUCACGCAGAACCCCGAUUGCGAAGGCAGCAUACCGGCGCCCUACUGACGCUGAGGCACGAAAGUGCGGGUAUCGAACAGGAUUAGAUACCCUAGUAGUC
rnacentral:rRNA from 1 species